rnacentral:tRNA from 1 species
UCAAGUGGUGCAGUGGUUAAACACUGGGCUUCUGAUCGGGAGGUUGCGGGUUCAAACCCCGGCGCGUCGGAA